AGUGAACGCUGGCGGUAGGCCUAACACAUGCAAGUCGAACGGCAACACAGUAAGAGCUUGCUCUUACGGGUGGCGAGUGGCGGACGGGUGAGGAAUACAUCGGAAUCUACUUUUUCGUGGGGGAUAACGUAGGGAAACUUACGCUAAUACCGCAUACGAUCUACGGGUGAAAGCAGGGGAUCUUCGGACCUUGCGCGUUUGAAUGAGCCGAUGUCGGAUUAGCUAGUUGGCGGGGUAAAGGCUCACCAAGGCGACGAUCCGUAGCUGGUCUGAGAGGAUGAUCAGCCACACUGGAACUGAGACACGGUCCAGACUCCUACGGGAGGCAGCAGUGGGGAAUAUUGGACAAUGGGCGCAAGCCUGACCCAGCCAUACCGCGUGGGUGAAGAAGGCCUUCGGGUUGUAAAGCCCUUUUGUUGGGAAAGAAAAGCAGCAGGUUAAUACCUCGCUGUUCUGACGGUACCCAAAGAAUAAGCACCGGCUAACUUCGUG
rnacentral:rRNA from 1 species